rnacentral:rRNA from 1 species
AUGCAAUGCAGAUGUCGGGCAGUCUGCUCCGGCCAUGCCUUGGGUUCUUCUUGUGGCUGUGAGCAUGUUAACUGCGUGGUUAAUCCAUUUGGUCAUGAGAUGGAACAUGGGUCCACCAUACAGCGCGGGGGUCGAGGGGUCUCCCGCUCCUCGGGGCCGGAGUCGCUCGAGUUCUUCGCCCGGAACCCAUCGCUGGAGCUCAUCCCCUUCUUGAAGCGACGAAUUCACGACGGCUGCAAUUUCAGAAUCAUGGGAGCCGACUGCAUUAUUGCAAAACUCGAGACCUUCCACAAGCACCUCAGGACACUGGUACUUCAACUCUUCGGCCCAGAAAACCUCAGGCUGGUUCUGCUCCAUGAAGUGCAGCAGACGGCCCAAGCUAGUCUGCUCUCCUGGCUUGAUCAUCCUAGCAUCGAAAUGAUAUUCAGCAUCACGGCAAAGCGAUUAAUCAGCUACGACUCCUCAAGCUCGGAUGGGAAGUUGUGGAAGCAAUUCGAUGCAUUUCUUCAGGGACUAUUAGCAUUUCCACUUUACAUUCCUGGCAUAGCAUCUGCAAAAGUAUGCAGGUAA